GUUUAACAACUCUAUAACUACUCUUAACAGCUUAACAAUCACACUACUCAACAUUAGACAGGUAUCACAAUGUCACAAAUUUGUUAAAUUAAUUCCAAGGCUGGCUGUUUUAUAUGAAUGAAAUAAUCAAAUGAACAAAAUGAAGCCAUCAUUACAACCUUCAAAUACAGUACAAAAGAGAGGAAAACAAAAUUGAAAGAGCUCAGCAAAGAAAGUGAACAAGAAAGCAAUGUUACAAAACAAAAUAACGAAUUGGUCACAAUUUGUAUGAAAAUUUUACAAGUAUAUUAGUGAGAAAAAUCGGUCAAUGUCAAUUAUCAAUAAUCACAAACAUGAAUAGAUUUUCUAUUACCAGCCAUGCCAAGUGCCAACUUCGCUGCCCUUUCUAUUCCUGGCCCAGGCACACCGCUCACAGCAGUACCUUUCAACUCUUCUCCGAAAGAUUAAGCACCUCCAGAUUUGAGUGUGUUACUCAACCAGUCCAUGCCCUCAAAGAGACCUUCUCCUUUAAUUGCAGAAGUUUUAAAAAUUGCCCAUUGACGAUUCUUAAUCUUAUGCAGCUCUAAAGCCUCUGUAAUUGCAGCAUCAUCAAGUGCCCCAGGAAGAUCCUGCUUGUUUGCAAAGAUGAGAACAACAGCACCUUUUAGUUCUUCCUCCUCUAGGAUUGCAUGGAACUCAUCUUUAGCAAUCACCAGUCUAUCAGUGUCACUUGAAUCAACAACAUAAAUU
rnacentral:misc_RNA from 1 species